CCGGCGCACGGGUGAGUAACACGUAUCCAACCUGCCGUCUACUCUUGGACAGCCUUCUGAAAGGAAGAUUAAUACAAGAUGGCAUCAUGAGUCCGCAUGUUCACAUGAUUAAAGGUAUUCCGGUAGACGAUGGGGAUGCGUUCCAUUAGAUAGUAGGCGGGGUAACGGCCCACCUAGUCUUCGAUGGAUAGGGGUUCUGAGAGGAAGGUCCCCCACAUUGGAACUGGGACACGGUCCAA
rnacentral:rRNA from 1 species